UGGUUGCGUGACGGUCGAUCUUCGGCAACGGGGAUGUUGGAUAGAAGCAUGUUGGUGGGGAAACGUUUCAGGGAGAGUGGGGGCGUGCGUUACGCAGGAUUUAGGGUUCUACGUGGUGGUGAGGAGCCACGACAGCACGGUACUCGUGCCGUGGUGGAGAAGCAACCGACAGCAGCACCAGCGUACACGGUUUCGCCGUUGCGGAGAAGCCUCGCUGCUCUCGGACAGAGCAGUCUGCAGCGAUCAUCGGCCCUCACGGUGUUCCGUAUGGCCAUGCGUCGUUCCAACUUUUCUGACACUACGUCAAAAUUUAUCAUCGACCCUGCGCAAAAUUCCAUCGCCUGCAACAUAACCGAGGACACUUUGAAACCGAGAUUCGAAGUAUAUCAUCGAAAGAAUAUCGGAGAACGGGAUUCCGCUUCCAGGCUAGAGAUCGUCGUUCGACGAUUAAGAGACAUUUUUAUCGGAAAGUCGAUCGCUUUUGAUAUACGCGGUGAUGAGAAGAUAGAAAGAGAUACGAUUAAUGAAAUCGUAACGAACUCUGCGUUAUUCAUUGAUGCUUGCUUGAAGAAAUUCUUCAACGAGAGAAACAUAACCUUAUUCAAUAGCGACAAACUUUCGCGAAAGUGGCGUAUAAAAAACAAACUUACCAUCGUUCUCGAUUGGAAUAUCGAGAAAAUUUUUUCCGAUAAUAUCGUUUUAUCCAAAAAGUGUCAACGCAAAGAGGACGAUAUUGGUGAAAUUAUAAACGGUUUCAAGUUCUCGAACGGUGUUGUUAAACCGAAGCGAGAUAUUCUUAAUAACGAAGUCGCACAUUUCAUCGAAAGAAAAAGCAAAGAUACCGUAUUUAUCGAAAACAUUGAACACAUCGUAGCUAUUGACGUUCUCUUCAUUGUUUAUAUUAGCGGCUUCAUAGCGACCGGCGUACACAUUGCAACCGCAUACGCACCCCGAACUUGCCACGUUUCGCAUGCGGGAGGACCAACUCGCACGUACGGUCCACCUAUCGCUCCACAACUCGACGAUCGAGUCAGUGUUACUCUUGAUUUCCACGCGAGCGCCGGUCCCGGCUUACCGGGGACGAUACCAACGUUCUACUUUAUUCAUUUUCGACGAUUCUCGGCAUUUCUGUCGUUUCGCGUUCGGACCUUUCGAGCCGACUAUCGAGAAGUCGAUCGAAGUGAAUUUUCCUUAAAAUCGAUGCGAUACGAGUUGCCAACUUUACAGUGGAACGUUCGCGUCGUGUGAAGGAACAUUGAGAAAAUGUUUAGUGUCAUAAAUUUAUGGAGUUUUUUUUUCUAUAAUUAUAUAUUCAUGUCGGAAAAAUAUUCUGAAAAAUUUCGAAAACGUCUAUUGUAAUUGUUAAAAUUUAUUCGGUAAAUAUAUUAAAAAUAAUAAUCUUUAGAUCGAAUCACAUGUAAAUAGACGAUAAAAAUUGAACGUUACACGAAGUGUUGAGUUUUCAAAGUGAAUCAAGUGAAUUUGGUGACACGGUUAUUCGUCAAAGAAAAAUAAAUUUUUUAUAAAUGACAUUUUAGAAGAACUUUGUCGUUGAACUAGAUUAAAGUGUUCGCUUCUUAUUAAACCACAAAUCAUCUAACGACAUAUACACGAGAUAAACCGUUAUCUAAGUAUGUGUACUGCGAUUUGUAUCGAUUCGAUAAAUGUAAUUCUUUCGUUAUUUUCAUGUCUGAGAAGAAAUUAAAUUAUCCGUGAGUUUUAUACUUCUUUACGUUUCUUAUCAAAGAUAUAUGUCGUUUCAAACAAUUAUCUAUGUUGUUUUCCAUGAGAAGUAUCGAACGCGUCCGUGAAUUGAAAUCAGUGUUCGUUUCAUAUGCAUUUCGUUUCGUGUUAAUGCGAUGUAGUUUGGUGCGAAAAUCAUGAAAUGAAAAAAACAUUUGGAAUGGUUACGUAGAUAAUCAACGAUCGUCAUUAUGCAUUGAAUCUAUGAAUAGUGAUUUCUCAUAGAAGAAAGUGAAAAUAUUACGAGUGGCGCCAAUAUUAAUUUCUUUUGAUAUAUGGUGCAGUGUCGAUACCGUCGUAAUUAUUCAUAGCAAUCUUAGCGAGGAAUCGAUAUAUACGUUGCAUAACAAUCAGAAAUUACCACUCUUAAUAUAAAUACAUGCGUAACGUUGGAAUUGUCUGAAUUUGAACACAUGAUAUGUAAUAUAUCCGUCGAAGAAUAAUAAAAGAAUAAUAAACAAGAAAAAUCAAUUGAUAAAUUCUGGAAUUUAUCGAAAGGCGGGCAUUGGAUUGGAUGGAUUGGAAAAAAAAGAAAAACACAACUGAUUUUACAAGAAGAUUCAAGGAACUUCUCGAGAUGGAUCAAAAUAUAAACUAAAGCUUCGAAUCGAUGGAUGACAAACAUUCUACGUAAUCUCUUCGUACCGGCCAUCAUCCCCUCGCACACCGUCCAAAUGAUUCGUCCCAGUCGUCGUCUUAGACGCGUAGAAUAAUCGUUAUUAUCAGGAACGGUCGACAGCGACGAGAUAACGCUGGUCGAGAAACCAACCGAGCAGAUCAGAUUGCGAUCGAUCUCGAGAAACGAAAAUUAUAGGAGAUCCGAGGCACCUUCUGCCGGUAAUUCUAUUAUCGCUGGGAGGCAAAUUUCGAGCCGUAUAGGAUCGGAAGGAAGUAACGUAUAGUCCUCGUCGUUAGCAUCUUGGAACGUCAUAUAUCUUGGCAGUAAUGCGCACAAAUUAUGCGUCUCGUGCCUCCACGGAGCAACGGCCACUAAGAAGCGAGCAACAGUUGCACGUUUACACUUACGGAUAAUCCGGCAUCCAUCGAUUCCUUUGCCUUUCUUGCUUCCCGUUUAUUCUUUCUACGCUUUUUUCGGCCAUGUUUCGCCGCGUUGUUCAUUGCUGAAAUUCAUACGCUCUGUUUCGAUAUUAACGCCUCUGUGGAACACGAGAUACACAUUCUUCAUCUACGUGACGUGUUGUGUCUUGAUGCCGUCCUUGCAGCCAAACAAAAGGUGCACGCACAUGUGAUUGGUGUUCCUAACAUUUUCGUUAUUCGAGGAAGCCUGUUUCGUGAUCGUCGUUAUUUGGCAAGUUCGCACGCCAUAGUGACAACGAAAUUAGAAAGUGGAUUAUCAAUUUUUAUUUAUGAAUGGAAACGUUUUUUGCAUAAAAAGUAACCAAUUUGAUUAUUUAUCGAAGUUUUUUACAAUUAGCAUGUAAUGAUAUUUUAAUUUAAAAAAAAAAGACAAUUGAGAUAUUAGGAGAAAGUGAAAACAUACGAUCGAAACGUUUUUGGAAAAAUUAAAAGAUCGAGAAGUUAGUGAGAAUUUCGAAUGCAGUAACGACUCUGUUUAAAAACUUUGAAUUUAAAAUUGUGCAAUGUGUAUAAGGUUAUUUAUUCUAAAUUGAAGAGAUCAUAACAUUGUAAAGUGAAACAUUCAGAUAGAAAUGAGAUUAUUUUAAGUGGCGAGUAUCGAAGGAAUUCUUGUGACACUGUCGCACAGCUGUUAGUGAAAAUAGGAAACAGAAUAUACCGUUAUGUAGUAUUCUAGCAAGCAAUCAUUCGUUUACCUGGAUCUCGAAAGUGAACAGGCACGUGUGGAAAGUGCAAUUAUUUCGGAUUUCGAAGAUUACAAAUGCGCACAUCAGUUUGACCCUGAAUAUUGUUAAAAUAUUACGAAAUCGACUACGUCCAAACAGUAUCAGUAUCAAAUAUUCGCAUAUCUCUCUAAUUGCACCAAUUAUAUUUUUCACACGAUAUUUCUCACGAUAACAAUUGAAUCGAGAUAAAAUGAAAUAUGUAUAAAUAAAACGUGGAUGAUCACUAGUGAAAUUGUUCAAUGAAGAAUUGUUAAAGAGGAGGAUAAUUUCGAUUUAUCUUUUUAAAAUUAAAAAAUUAUCUUUUUAAAAAAUUAUCAUCGCCGAGAAAAAAAACGUCCACGUGCAUAUCAGGAUAACAUCUGUGCCUUUGAGUGAUGACAUUUAUCACGAAUGGUAUCUACAGAAUUUUAUGCGACAUUCGGUUUGGUGGCGACUCACUUGGUCAAAGUUCGAUCACACUUGGAGGUAUCACGGCCCACACGUGUGACGUCUGCACGUCAUUUCAAACUUACCAACACACACCGUCGCCAUGCACAUCGCGCAACCAAGAGACGUGAAUAACGCGUGACGCUGAGUUACCACUUAACACACAUUUUCAUGAGCCCCACACCGGUGAUUUAUAAUAAAUUCCCUUAACGAACCUGGCCGAGAA